AUUGAACACUGGCGGCAGGCCUAACACAUGCAAGUCGAGCGGAUGAGGGGAGCUUGCUCCCUGAUUUAGCGGCGGACGGGUGAGUAAUGCGUAGGAAGCUGCCCGAUAGAGGGGGAUACCAGUUGGAAACGACUGUUAAUACCGCAUAAUGUCUACGGACCAAAGUGUGGGACCUUCGGGCCACAUGCUAUCGGAUGCGCCUACGUGGGAUUAGCUAGUUGGUGAGGUAAUGGCUCACCAAGGCGACGAUCUCCAGCUGGUUUGAGAGGAUGAUCAGCCAUACUGGAACUGAGACACGGUCCAGACUCCUACGGGAGGCAGCAGUGGGAAAUAUUGGACAAUGGGCGCAAGCCUGAUCCAGCCAUGCCGCGUGUGUGAAGAAGGCCUUCGGGUUGUAAAGCACUUUCAGCGAGGAGGAAGGGUGGUGUGUUAAUAGCACAUCAUUUUGACGUUACUCGCAGAAGAAGCACCGGCUAACUCUGUGCCAGCAGCCGCCGUAAGAC
rnacentral:rRNA from 1 species